rnacentral:rRNA from 1 species
CCUACGGGUGGCAGCAGUGAGGAAUAUUGGUCAAUGGACGCAAGUCUGAACCAGCCAAGUCGCGUGCAGGAAGACGGCCCUAUGAGUUGUAAACCGCUUUUGUCCGAGGGCAAAUCCCGAUACGUGUACCGGGUUGAAAGUAUCGGACGAAUAAGCAUCGGCUAACUCCGUGCCAGCAGCCGCGGUAAUACGGAGGAUGCGAGCGUUAUCCGGAUUUAUUGGGUUUAAAGGGUGCGCAGGCGGAGGAUCAAGUCAGCGGUAAAAUCGAGAGGCUCAACCUCGUUGCGCCGUUGAAACUGUGUUUCUUGAGUGAGUGAGAGGUAGGCGGAAUGCGUGGUGUAGCGGUGAAAUGCAUAGAUAUCACGCAGAACUCCGAUUGCGAAGGCAGCAUACCGGCGCUCAACUGACGCUGAUGCACGAAAGUGUGGGUAUCGAACAGGAUUAGAUACCCGAGUAGUC